rnacentral:misc_RNA from 1 species
UUGGGCGUCACCGUCCAUCGGCUGAUGAUGAUAUUGUUGAUUAUGAGGAUCAGUUGUGGCUUUUGUUGAGCCCAUCAUGUCCUCCUUCCCUUCCGAGUCUCGACACCAACAAUUUAAAAAAAAAAGAGCCACAAAUUAGAAACUGCAAUAAAGCGACAAAUCUGAAAAACUCUCUCUCCAGUCUGGGUGGAGAUCUAUCUGUG